AAUAAUAAUAAUAAUAAUAAUAAUAAUAAUAAUAAAUAACCGAUUAUCGCAUGGUCGCGUUAUUUUACACUCUAACGAGUAUUUUUACAGCAUUAACGAAUAUUUUAAACAAUAGAUGGAGGCACGCUUCGACUUCGUCUAAAGCCUUAUCGCAACCUCAAUUAAAUUCUGCACAUUCAUCAAUGAAAUUCGUUCUCCAUUAUCUGUGUUUACAAAUACUAUUUUACUUAUCUAUCGUUGGCGAUAAGGCGACGCCUAAAUUAAGUUCUUCCUGUUGAAUAUUUUCGUAUAUAUGUGUAUAUAAAUAUAUAUUAUUUAUCUUCCUUAACGGAAAAAUGAAGCAAAGAACGAACUAGUUGUUUAUACGAUUUUCAUCUUCUUCGUCUUCACGCAAUCGAUUAUAUGACAGGAAAUUGGAGGAUAAUUGGAUUCAUUUCCUUCAACUAAAAGUCCUUUCAUUUGCUAGUUCGGUUACCAUGACGACAUGUAGUACGGUCGCCAAUGACGUCAGUAGAUACAGCCAGUGACGCAACUAGUCGCCCUUGAGACGUCUGCUACUUUGGAUGGAGAAAAACAAGCCAUGUUUAUUGAGUAUGAGAAACGAUGAAAAUGCGAAGAAUGAGAUCGUCUUUCGCGAUGAUGAUGAUGAUGUUUACAAUUUCUUGCGUUACCGAUGAUUGACGGGAUAAUUUUAUCAUUUUUAACACUGGGCUGCUGUAUAAAAGAGAGUUUUUUUUUUUUAUUUUUUAAGUAUCGGUCGAAUGGGGAGGGUAAUAAAAGGCUAAUUAAAUCGUUAAACAGUUUAAAAACGUCUCUCUCUGCCGGCUGCAUUUAGGCAAAAAUUCAUCAUUUCGGCACACAAAGAGAGGGGUUGGGGAGACACCUGCUCAUUACUGACGAUUGCACAGAGAGCAGGACGAAGUAGUGACAUUGUAAUGGGUAAAAUGCUGCUCUUGUGCCCUUAGCAGGAGCAAAUAACAGGCUCCUGAGGGAUUGCAGGAACGUCAGGCGUUCCACGAACCGCCUCGAAACUUCUUCGAAUGGGAGUGGACCCCAUCUGACUAACGUCUUUUCCGAACUACUGAUUUAUGACGUGGUUCCCUAUCGGGUGGGGAGAGUCGUAGUUUGUUUACAGCUAUUCCCCAUCUCCUCCUGACCCCCGAGGGGACAGGUGGCUGAACUGACAUGGUCCAGAUCUCUUAACGAUGUGGCCAGAUGAGAUUCGAAAAGUUGUGUGUGUGUGUGUGUGUGUGUGUGUGUGUGUGUGUUCGGAUCGAGUUACCCCCACAACCGGGCAAACGAAACUACCCGGUUAAUGAUGUAGAUGAGUAUUUCGUUCGACAAAAUCGUUAAGUUGUUGAUAAAUCUCGGUGACAAGUGCAGCACCUCUGAAUGGGGUCCGAGGUUCAAAUUAUGUCUGAGUUCAACUGAUAAACUUUUAACUUGAGAGAAGAAAAUAAGCAUUUAUAACAGGAGGGGGAAGGGAAGUUUUUAAAAACUACUCGAAAACUACCCCCAAACAACUUCCUUUCUUUCUUUAUUGCCUUCUCGGUAUGGAAUCUUCCAUUUUUGUCACGUGUUUUCACUUUCACUAGAGAGGAGGGGAAGGUUGGGGACCCUGGAAACACAGAUACCCACAGUGAAAGCCGCAGGGGACAGGGUUCACCUCCAAAGCCGGUCGUGUCAGAAUUUAAAUACAAGGCCCUAAAGCAAGCGGGCCUCCUCAUGUAAUAACAGUGGGUAAUAACAGGCCCUGUCAGCCUCCUCUCUCUCUUUUUCUAAGGAACUGGUUUCCUUUUUGUGUUGUUGUUAGUCUGUAUCUGAUUAAAGAUCUCCCAAGAGUGUGCAUGUAAUAUUAAUUCGACAUUUAAAAAUUUUUAAAACAUCGUUUUUUUUUUUUUUUUAUCGGUACGCGUAAUCAAUAAAAGGGGCAUUAAUCUAACUUUUUAACUUAAAAAAAAUCAAUACAUCCUCAUUUAAAAAUUAACAUAUAGAAAAAUCCCAACUGUAAUGGAUCAUAUCCUCAUUUUCGAAGCAUCAGAAUCGAUCGCGAUCAAUAAAAACAGCUAGAUAAUUUGCUGUAUUUGAUUCGAUUUCUGUACAUAAAAAAAUCUUCUACAGUAUGUAGAAUCUGUAAAUAAUAUAAAAUCGUUUAACUUUAACAAAGCUUUAUCA
rnacentral:lncRNA from 1 species